AAAAAAGAGGACUCUUUCUUGAAAAUGAUUUCUUUCAUCAAGUAGUUUGUUGCAUCUCUGUGAACAUCAGUUCUGCUUCCUUCAGAACUUCAAACAAAUAUUUCCUGCACGUUUACAGGAAACAUAUUAAACACUAUAAAUGGCAACCUGCCUUGCACCUGAUUCAAUAGUUAAAGUGAGGUGUGAGCAACAGAGUGACACAGUGCUCCCCUGGCAUCAUGGCAGUAUUGUCCCAGCU
rnacentral:lncRNA from 1 species